GAGGUUAUAGCUGAGUGGCAGAGUGCAUGCCUUGCUAGCAUGAGGUCCUGGGUUCAGUCCCCAGGACCCCCA
rnacentral:tRNA from 1 species